CACGUCAUUCCAGUCCGGUUUAAGUUUGCAGUUUAACGGGAGACGUCGUGUGAUGGAUGUGACAGACGUCGUGUUGUCGCUGACAUGAUCACGAGCUGGAGUCCAAACAGGCGUGAUGCUGCUCAUCAUGUCUGAGGGAGAGACACGGUUCCCUCGUCCCAUCAUGCUCCUGGGAUCUGUCCUCCAGGCCCCGCCCCCUUCAGGGGUCCAGGCUCCUCCAUCCGAGCCAAGCUGCUCUGUGCCGGGCCGGGCCAGACGGCCCAGGGCAGCGUGGCUCCUUCACUGUGAGGACGAUGAAUCGACAGGCUGAGCGGGGAGAGCGUGAACAUCACCGCUGGAAGACGAUGAUCAGCAUCAGUCAGUGACACAGUGAGUGAGGGCCAAUCAGGCCAGAGGAUGAGAGUCUGGAUCCAACGGACCGACAGAGAACAUGAUGUGAAACAAACUGGUUCAUAAUGAGGAACAAGGUGUAAAUCUACCUCAUCUCCAUGAACACGCAGCAGUUCACCUCAGACAGAAGACGAAGUGACUCGUCAGAUUCAAGAGGACGAUACGAGUUCAUGACGUGCAGCUCGUCACUACUCCACUGAGACCGGUUCAGAAACAUCUAACACCACGAGGGAAACAGGAACUUUCUGAAUUCAUUAAUUUUCUUUCAAUAAAAACACCCACUGUC